ensembl:lncRNA
GGGGGGGAAUUAGUUGAGUAGGAUGCAGGAGACUCAGGAGGGAGGACUCUCCCUGUAGAUGUGGGAGACUCAGCCCCUGCAGGAAGAUGGGAGGUAAAGGUGAAGGGUAAGUAGAGGGCAGGCUGUGAAGGGACUAUAGUGUUGAGGAGUCUGGACUUUGUGCUGAGAGCAGUGGGGAGUCAUUGGGGAUUUCCUCCACGGAGACUGGUUAGGAGCAGACAUUGUGGUCAGUGGCCCCUUCUUCCCUUUGCUUGGAUCUUUCCUGUCGACAAAGUACUUUCACUUACAUCCCUAUUUAAACUCCUCAGUAAUCAAUCAUCUCCACGGACAGAGGUUAUCUUCCUGUUCUAGACAAGGAAGCUAAGGUUUUGAGAGGGUGAUUGACUGUUAAUCAGUCAAGUCAGUAGGUAGAAGAGCCAAGCCUCGAGGCUUGAACUUCAGUUCUGGAGGUCAGUGGACUGUGGUUUGGAUUGUCUCCUGGCCUCUAACCCAGUCCCUUAGGAAGCAAUCAAAUGUAUACACAGAGGAAUGGGGGCAGGAGGAGACAUAGUUUAAUUAAGAAUCCAACUCUUUUGUGGAAAGGAAACUAAUUAUAUCCGAAAUCUCAGGAUUGCUUCUCCGCAUGGGGCCAUUGGUUUAUUAUGCUUGUACGUAUGUUGUUGGCCUUAGACUGUAGUGUGCUAGGAGCGGCUGCUUUAAUUGUGAGCUUCCUUCCUUUGGCAAAUUAAGUUUAAACUUCAUGUUAGCCUGUCCUUCCCUUUUUUUCUAGGGUGAAAUUGUCUCUACUCUGGGUUUUGUUUGUAAAGCCAUGUUUGGCAGUUUUCCUCAGGUUCACCGUGACAUUGCAGUCCAGGGUAAUACCUGAUUUUUUUGCUAACCUUGAGUCUCCAGAAUGCUGCUGUGAGCCAGAAAGUGGAAAGGUCCAAGCAGUGCAAUUAGAUCUAAUAAAGUCCACUUGCUGAAAUGCAUGAACUUGCCUCAUUGGGGAGCCCCUGGGUCCUCAUUUAGCCUUUGUUGUAGCCUUUGCCACUCCCACGGCACGUGGAAGUUUUCAGGCCAGGGCUCAAACCCAUGCCACAGCAAUGACAACACUGAUUCUUAACUGCUAGGCCACCAGGGAACUCCAGACUUUGCAUUCUUUUUUUUUUUUUUUGCUUUUUUAGGUCCUCACCCAAGGCAUGUGGAGGUUCCCAGGCUAGGGGUCUAAUCAGAGCUUUAGCUGCCGGCCUACACCACAGCCACAGCAACACCAGAUCCUUAACCCACUGAGCGAGGCCAGGGAUCGAACCAGCAACCUCAUGGUUCCUAGUGGGAUUCAUUUCUGCUGCACCAUGACAGGAACUCCCAGCCUUUGCAGUCUUGAUUUAUACAGUGGCUGUGGGAGCAGAGUUGGGGGCCUCCUGGAGGCAGGCCACCAGCAUCAGAGAGGAAAAAGUAGCAGCAUGGUAUGUGGCAGUGGCAUUCACUAUGUGACUUUGGGUAAGUCGGUAUUGAGCCUCCCCAGCUUCCACUUCUUUAUAAGCAAAAGGGAAUGUUGUGGUACAUACACCCUAAAAAUUCGGUCCCUUCUAAAAAUCUGAUCCUAAGUGACAAAGUAGACUCACCAACAAAAUGGGAAAAGUAGAUAUAGGAACUGAAGAUGCCAUUGUGUAGGUAAAAGAACUUGGGCAUUUGAGACAGAAACUCUCAAAUUCAAAUCCUAAUUCUGUUACUUGAUACUUGAGAGAAAUCAUUUAGCCAUUUUCUUUAUUGAUAAAGGAAGGGUAGUAACUCUGUUGCAGGAGCUUUGUUAUGUUUUACUUUGAGAGAAAAUUGCAUUAUUGUGUGCAUAAUCUCUUUGGCACAUGGGAGACACAGAAGGUAUGUGUGUGUGAGACUGUGUGUAGGUAAACUCAGUUUCAGUUCACCAAGGAUGACACAACUGUAAGAACCUUGGUGAGAGAAAUUCCUGUUGUGGCACAGUGGUUAACAAAUCUGACUAGAAACCAUGAGGUUGUGGGUUCGGUCCCUGGCCUUGCUCAUGGGUUAAGGAUCUGGUAUUGCCGUGAGCUGCGAUGUAGGUCGCAGACAUGGCUUGGAUCUGGUGUUGCUGUGGCGUAGGCCAGCAACUGUAGCUCCGAUUGGACCCCUAGCCUGGGAACUUCCAUAUGCCAGGAGUGUGACCCUAAAAGAAAACCAAAAAAAAAAAAAAAAAA